GGCUCCUGAGCUUUCACUAUAGGCAUGUCAGAUGGAAUUGGGUAUCAGUCAACAGGUCGCAAAAAAGGACUGGUGGGAAUGGAGGGUUAACGGGCCAAAAC